UACGGGGGGGGCAAGCGUUGUUCGGAAUUACUGGGCGUAAAGGGUCUGUAGGUGGCUCGCUAAGUCAGACGUGAAAUCCCUCAGCUUAACUGGGGAACUGCGUCUGAGACUGAUGAGCUUGAGUGCAGGAGAGGAAUGCGGAAUUCCAGGUGUAGCGGUGAAAUGCGUAGAUAUCUGGAGGAACACCGGUGGCGAAGGCGGCAUUCUGGACUGCAACUGACACUGAGAGACGAAAGCCAGGGGAGCAAACGGG
rnacentral:rRNA from 1 species